GCCAAAUUGGAAAUGCCUAUGGUAAGUAUGUCUUCGACUGGAUGAUAUAAAAUUUGUUUUCAAUCUUUAUUUCUUGUGCUAACACUUUGUAUCCAAGUCAGGAAGAUUACAACGGACUAGCUGUCUUGAUACUAAGGCAUACAUGUUAAGAAUUUAAAGACUUGUCUUUUAUACACAGGCAUGUAAAAGUGCUAUUUUGAGUAAUUCUUUUCUUUUUCAGUAGGUCAAGAAAAAAAAAAAAAAUUGGUUAGCUCUUGUUUUAAAAUUUUAAAUAAUUCAGACGAAACGGUAAAUGUAAGAUCAAUCAACUUAUCUCAAACUAUAUU
rnacentral:misc_RNA from 1 species